AAAUUGAAGAGUUUGAUCAUGGCUCAGAUUGAACGCUGGCGGCAGGCCUAACACAUGCAAGUCGAACGGUAACAGGAAGCAGCUUGCUGCUUCGCUGACGAGUGGCGGACGGGUGAGUAAUGUCUGGGAAACUGCCUGAUGGAGGGGGAUAACUACUGGAAACGGUGGCUAAUACCGCAUAACGUCGCAAGACCAAAGAGGGGGACCUUCGGGCCUCUUGCCAUCAGAUGUGCCCAGAUGGGAUUAGCUUGUUGGUGAGGUAACGGCUCACCAAGGCGACGAUCCCUAGCUGGUCUGAGAGGAUGACCAGCCAC
rnacentral:rRNA from 1 species